rnacentral:rRNA from 1 species
CGUGGGUAACCUGCCCAAGAGAUCGGGAUAACACCUGGAAACAGAUGCUAAUACCGGAUAACAACAGAUGAUGCCUAUCAACUGUUUAAAAGAUGGUUCUGCUAUCACUCUUGGAUGGACCUGCGGUGCAUUAGUUAGUUGGUAGGGUAACGGCCUACCAAGGCGAUGAUGCAUAGCCGAGUUGAGAGACUGAUCGGCCACAUUGGGACUGAGACACGGCCCAAACUCCACGGGAGGCAGCAACA